rnacentral:rRNA from 1 species
UUUAACUUGGCGGCAUUCUAUCUAAUUAGAGGAAUUUGUCCUUUAAUCGACGCCCCACGUUAAAUUUCACUUUAAUUAUAUAAUUUAUAUACCCCCAUCUAAAGAAUCGAUUUAAAAUACAUUUCUAAAUAAACAAUAAAAAGUUAGGCCAAGGUGUAGUCCAUAUUAAAGAAUGAGAUGAAUUACAAUAAAUACUAAUUAAAGAAUAUUAAUAAAAUAUUAAUAUAAAUAAGAAUUUAAUAGAAAUAUUAAAAAUAAUAAUUCAAUAUGAUAAAGAUCAUAAAUGUGCACACAUCGCCC